ACACCUUGCCUAGCCACACCCCCACGGGAUACAGCAGUGACAAAAAUUAAGCCAUGAACGAAAGUUUGACUAAGCUAUACUAACUACCAAGGGUUGGUAAAUUUCGUGCCAGCCACCGCGGUCAUACGAUUAACCCAAGUUAAUAGAUAUACGGCGUAAAACGUGUUAAGGAAAUUGCAUUCAAUAAAGUUAAACCCGAACUGUGCCGUAAAAAGCUUCAGCCAGGAUAAAAAUAAACUACGAAAGUGACUUUAAUUAAUCCGACCACACGAUAGCUAAGACGCAAACUGGGAUUAGAUACCCCACUAUGCUUAGCCCUAAACCUAAAUAGCCAACACAACAAUGCUAUUCGCCAGAGUACUACUAGCAACAGCUUAAAACUCAAAGGACUUGGCGGUGCUUUAUAUCCCUCUAGAGGAGCCUGUUCUGUAAUCGAUAAACCCCGAUAAACCUCACCAACCCUUGCUAAUACAGCCUAUAUACCGCCAUYUUCAGCAAACCCUAAAAAGGGACCGAAGUAAGCACAAUUACAAAUCAUAAAAACGUUAGGUCAAGGUGUAGCCUAUGAGUUGGAAAGAAAUGGGCUACAUUUUCUAAUGCUAGAACAUCUUAACGAAAAUUUUCGUGAAACCGAAAAUAGAAGGAGGAUUUAGUAGUAAAUUAAGAAUAGAGAGCUUAAUUGAAUAAGGCCAUGAAGCACGCACACACCGCCCGUCACCCUCCUCAAGUACGAAAAUACAUAACACCUAAAACCUAUUUACAAAUGUAGCAAAUAUGAGAGGAGACAAGUCGUAACAAGGUAAGCGUACUGGAAAGUGCGCUUGGAUAAU
rnacentral:rRNA from 1 species